GGUACCGUGGCCGAGUGGCUAGGCGGUGGUCUGCAAAACCAUUCACGGCGGUUCGAAUCCGUUCGGUACCUCAA
rnacentral:tRNA from 1 species